GCGUUGUCCGGAAUUAUUGGGCGUAAAGAGCUCGUAGGCGGCCACUCAAGUCGGAUGUGAAAACUCGAGGCUUAACCUCGAGCCUGCAUUCGAUACUGGGUGGCUGGAGUCUGGUAGGGGGAUCUGGAACUCCUGGUGUAGCGGUGGAAUGCGCAGAUAUCAGGAAGAACACCGGUGGCGAAGGCGGGAUCCUGGGCCAGUACUGACGCUGAGGAGCGAAAGCGUG
rnacentral:rRNA from 1 species